UUAUUAUUAUAUAUUUUUUAACACAUGAAUAUUUUGCAGAUUCUGCAAGGGGUGUGUAAACUUAUGAGCACAACUGCAUUAGCGUUAGGAACUCUCCAAGUUCUCGGGUCUUGAUUUGGUCCGAGGAAUCGCUCGAGACUCGAGACGGUCCUUUCUAUUCCGAUUGACAUUAAAAGAAUGAACUCUCUGGUGUCACGUCGUCGCUCGCUAAUGUGAACGUAGGGUCACCGUGUGCCACGUUUAUGCCAUCGCAGGAAGUACAAAUGCUUUAUCUCGCUCAGGGUGGGUUAAAAAAAAUAGAUGAAAAAAUAAAAAGACUUUAUUAAUAUUUUUGGGAAAUAGAACCGAAUGCGUUUGGAACAAAUAACAAAAAUGUUAGAUCUAAUCUAAUAUAAUGGCGUCAUAAUAAUAAUAAUAAUAAUAAUAAUAAGAAGAAGAAGAAGAAGUAUGAAAAUGUAUGUAAAACAAGAGCAGGAGUUAAACGACAACAGUCUCACACACACACACACACACCUCUGAUAUCAGGUACUGAUUAAAAUGAAAGAGUCCUGCUCUUCAGGUUCAGUGUAUAGUGAAAUUUUGAACGUGAUCUGGAGCUUGUUAGCGAAAAAGCUAAAGAACGUCGAAAAGAGCGUCACUGUGUACGUAAUCUAGUGUAAAGCGUAAAAUACCAAGUGUGUAGUAAGUAGUAGAGCAAUACCGACUAGCUGUGUGAGAGAGUGUGUGUGUGGUUUACUGUACAGUCUGUGGUGUAAUUGUGUUAGAAAUAGUCUUAGAUACAGCUGGUGUACUAAUGUAACUUAUAUGCACUAGUGUUGGACUUUUUUAUACAACUGUCAUCUUUUCCAUCAUUUUUUUCCUCGUAACAUCCUUCCCAGCUCGUGCUGUAGGUUUCCCAACAAACAAUCAGGUUUCCCACAGUUGUGUGCGUGUGUGUGCGUGGUGAUCUGUUUGUGCGUUCAGAAAUUGUGUACAUUUCGUAUAAAUGAUUACAGAUAAAUUCCGUGUGUGUUUGUUUGUUUUGGCACCCCUGAUCUGGACGUUUGUGUAUUUCUGUGUUUUUAAUCUCACUGCGGUGGCUUACACUCGUUUUGCCUUAGUUUUUAACACAGCGGAUCGAGGUUAUAGUAGGGUACUAAACUAAGUACCAUUUCUCGUGACUGGGGUGGUACCUUUAGUACUCGUCUUCUCCGUGGAUAUGUCUGAAGUGUACCCGCUCUCAAAGCUCAUCGAAGCUGCGAGAUCACGCAUGAUGUUUUUUUUUUAGCGUACGUACGCUACCUAUAAAAGUCAUAUGCUUAACGGUACCGUCACAUCGACAUGAAAAGGUACAGUUAGUACCCUUUUUUUUCCUGAAAGAGUAUCAUUAUGCCUGAUACAGGAUCAGUGUAUAUUUUUAUUUAUUUAUUUCUUUUACACGUGCAUUCGGGCUCGGCGUUUAAUCUUUAUUAUCAGCUAUCUGAGCCUGGUAGCUUCUUUCAUUCAUUCUUAUGAGUGAGUGUGUGAGUGUGUGAGUGUGUGUGUGAGAUGUUUUUCCCCCUCUGAUGCAUGGAAAGUGAUCAGCAUGGAGAUUGUAUGUAUGUAUGUGCAUUCAGUAUGAGACCUUUCCAUUGUAUGGUGAAAAUGUAAAAAGAGAAAAGAAACACACACACUUAUACACACUUUUUGAUCUGAUUAGUGUAUCGGUAACGCCGAUACACAUGCAGCUAAACCGUUUCCCUAGAGGUCAGAACUUAUCUAAACUCCUACUUUUGUCCCCUUUUCUGCUUUCUGUCCUUUAAAGACAAGGAUCUGUGUCGUCUCUGCUCGUGCUUUGUAGAAUAGAAAAAAAAAUGGAAAGAAUGUGCGUUCAAGACUGUGGGAUGAAACGUUUUUGUGUGUUUUUAGAUAGAAAAAAAAAAAGAAAUAAAUCGGUAGAGACGCUUUGUUCUCGUCAUCGUCGUCAUCGAGUUCAUGAUUCAUGAUUAGGAUAUGCAGUAGUCAUGCACCUCUUGUUUUGUAAACACUAAUAUAUUUAAUUUGUUAUACAGCACACGAACAUUAAACUCUAUUUUUUUGA
ensembl:lncRNA